rnacentral:rRNA from 1 species
GAUGAACGCUGGCGGCGUGCCUAAUACAUGCAAGUCGAGCGAAAAGACGAGGAGCUUGCUCCUCUGUCGUUAGCGGAGGACGGGUGAGUAACACGUGGAUACUCUACCUAUAAGACUGGGAUAACUACGGGAAACCGGAGCUUAUCCCGGAUAAUCUCUUGCAGCGUAUGGUUCAAUAGUGAAAGACGGUUUUGCUGUCACUAAUAGAUGGAUAUGCGCCGCAUUAGCUAGUUGGUAAGGUAACGGGUUACCAAGGCAACGAUGCGUAGCCGACGGGAGAGGGUGAUAGGCCACACUGGAACUGGGACACGGACCAGACUCCUACGGGAGGCAGCAGUAGGGAAUCGGCCGCAAUGGUCGAGAGCCUUACGGAGCAACGCCGAGUGAGUGAUGAAGGUCUUCGGAGCGGAAAACUCGGUUAUUAGGUAAGAACAAAUGUGUAAGUAACUAUGCACGUCUUGACGGUACCUAAUCAGAAAGCCACGGCUAACUACGUG